GCCGGAGUGGCGAAAUUGGUAGACGCGCAGGUUUUAGGAACCUGUGGAGCAAUCCUUGCUGGUUCAAUUCCAGUCUCCGGCA
rnacentral:tRNA from 1 species